rnacentral:lncRNA from 1 species
AAAAAUAAACGGAAAAAAAAAUGUGAUUACUUUUUAGGUGGGAAUAUCAUCUCAGCAUUUGAUUCCACAUACAACAGUCUCUUGAACUUAUCCACAUAAAAGUGUUUAAAGACGAAAACAUAAAUUUUAGUGUAGUUUGAUGAGUAUAUCAACAGAUUUAAGAAAGUAGUGAAAGUUUCACCUGAGUAUCCAAACCUAUAUGUAUAAGCAAGCAGAAUUCUAAGCAUCUUCAUUUAGAUAAUGUAGGAAAUAUUUGAUGUGUAUCAAUAGAAAGACAAAAGAGAAUCAAGAAAGAAA